GCUGGCUCAGUUGGUAGAGCAUGUGACUCUUGAUCUCGGAGGAGUGGGUUCAAGUCCCACAUUGGGCA
rnacentral:tRNA from 1 species